UUAAGGAGCCCAGGAAGUGUGAAAGACAAUUUAGGUUGAUGUGUGUUUGUCUCUCCAGGUAAACUUUUGUGUCCCCAGAGAGGAGAGUCUCUGCAUUUCUGUCUCCCCAAGUGUUAUUGGGCUCCUUGGAUCAAAUUAGAAGGUGCUAUGAACCAAUAUACUGUUGCUAGUGUCACCAUUAAGGAACUAAAUCAACUCCAGUAUUUCUUCCAGUUUCUCCCAGCUUCCUGCAUUACUUGUCUCGUGGUCCCGUUUUCACAUCACAUCAACCAUGUUUCUGUUGAAGCAUCUCCUUCCAUUCAGAAAGACAACCUUACUGUGGUUUUAGGAAACACGUGUGACUAUAUUGGCAUCCUCAAUACUUUCCAUUUCAAGAUACUUACUUUAAAGGGGUCUGCAAAGUUCUAGUUUUCCAUAAAAAGUACUCACAGGGUUUAAAGACUGAGGUGUGUGGAACCACCACUCUACCACUGAAUGAGCAGAGAUUAACAAAUAGUACGGGUGGUGUAGGGCAUUGGAUCAGACCCUCCUGCUUUAUUCAGAGUGGAGGUUCUUGUGGAGCAAGCAGUUCAGGAUCAGCAUCAUUUGGUAAGUACUCAAGCUUGAAUACGCAGAAUGGGAAGCAGCCUUGGCAACAGUACCAAUGCACAGCUCCAGGGUAAAAGUCAGACGCUGUCGAAAGCAGGGGGUGAACAGAGACCCUUUCCUGCUCUUGGGAGCAGCUGACUUGCAUUUAUUCUUUGUCCAAGAGAAAUGUCACUGAGAGACCUAUCCAUUCUUUGAAGGUUAAAUUAUCAUUUUUAAUAUCACUCUGUAUUUAACUUGUUUGGUCUUAUCAUUGUUCAAAAUGGG
rnacentral:lncRNA from 1 species